rnacentral:sRNA from 1 species
AUCGACCACGCGCACACUGCGAUUUCUGAGUGCGCCAUCCACGCCCGCCCGACGACUGCGCGCUACCUGUUGUCAGUC